rnacentral:rRNA from 2 species
UGCAAGUCGAACGCGUUGGCCCAAUUGAUUGAUGGUGCUUGCACCUGAUUGAUUUUGGUCGCCAACGAGUGGCGGACGGGUGAGUAACACGUAGGUAACCUGCCCAGAAGCGGGGGACAACAUUUGGAAACAGAUGCUAAUACCGCAUAACAGCGUUGUUCGCAUGAACAACGCUUAAAAGAUGGCUUCUCGCUAUCACUUCUGGAUGGACCUGCGGUGCAUUAGCUUGUUGGUGGGGUAACGGCCUACCAAGGCGAUGAUGCAUAGCCGAGUUGAGAGACUGAUCGGCCACAAUGGGACUGAGACACGGCCCAUACUCCUACGGGAGGCAGCAGUAGGGAAUCUUCCACAAUGGGCGCAAGCCUGAUGGAGCAACACCGCGUGAGUGAAGAAGGGUUUCGGCUCGUAAAGCUCUGUUGUUAAAGAAGAACACGUAUGAGAGUAACUGUUCAUACGUUGACGGUAUUUAACCAGAAAGUCACGGCUAACUACGUGCCAGCAGCCGCGGUAAUACGUAGGUGGCAAGCGUUAUCCGGAUUUAUUGGGCGUAAAGAGAGUGCAGGCGGUUUUCUAAGUCUGAUGUGAAAGCCUUCGGCUUAACCGGAGAAGUGCAUCGGAAACUGGAUAACUUGAGUGCAGAAGAGGGUAGUGGAACUCCAUGUGUAGCGGUGGAAUGCGUAGAUAUAUGGAAGAACACCAGUGGCGAAGGCGGCUACCUGGUCUGCAACUGACGCUGAGACUCGAAAGCAUGGGUAGCGAACAGGAUUAGAUACCCUGGUAGUCCAUGCCGUAAACGAUGAGUGCUAGGUGUUGGAGGGUUUCCGCCCUUCAGUGCCGGAGCUAACGCAUUAAGCACUCCGCCUGGGGAGUACGACCGCAAGGUUGAAACUCAAAGGAAUUGACGGGGGCCCGCACAAGCGGUGGAGCAUGUGGUUUAAUUCGAAGCUACGCGAAGAACCUUACCAGGUCUUGACAUCUUGCGCCAACCCUAGAGAUAGGGCGUUUCCUUCGGGAACGCAAUGACAGGUGGUGCAUGGUCGUCGUCAGCUCGUGUCGUGAGAUGUUGGGUUAAGUCCCGCAACGAGCGCAACCCUUGUUACUAGUUGCCAGCAUUAAGUUGGGCACUCUAGUGAGACUGCCGGUGACAAACCGGAGGAAGGUGGGGACGACGUCAGAUCAUCAUGCCCCUUAUGACCUGGGCUACACACGUGCUACAAUGGACGGUACAACGAGUCGCGAACUCGCGAGGGCAAGCAAAUCUCUUAAAACCGUUCUCAGUUCGGACUGCAGGCUGCAACUCGCCUGCACGAAGUCGGAAUCGCUAGUAAUCGCGGAUCAGCAUGCCGCGGUGAAUACGUUCCCGGGCCUUGUACACACCGCCCGUCACACCAUGAGAGUUUGUAACACCCAAAGUCGGUGGGGUAACCUUUUAGGAGCCAGCCGCCUAA